rnacentral:piRNA from 1 species
UCUGUCCUGACUUCUGGCCCUCCUCGGGCAGC